UGGUUUCAUGUAGAAACGCUGUUGCUAUUGUUUUUGUAGAAUUAUAUGGAAGUUUGGUAGGUUUAAGGCGUGCGAACGUCUUUUUAAUCGAUCGUUUAUGAUCGCAUCAGACGUUAUAAUAUGUCAUUACCGUGGAUUUUCGUGCAUUUGUGUGUAACAUUUAUCCGACAUCGAAACAUAUAUAUAUCGAUAUAUGCAUAAAGUUGCGCGGUCUUAUUAUUACCGAUAAUAUAUUAAAAUUACAGGUUGAAUUUUAUAAUUUUUACAAAAAAUUGAUACGUUGUAAUUUCGUGUUUCGUUGGAAAUUCUCUCGUUGGCUUUACGAUGUGAUCGAAUUUAUUUCCGGAACUGAUCCGACAAUUAAAUAUUGUUGCAAGGAUUUCUAGCGAACGAAUUAAUUAUAUUUUUACUUCGUCCUUUUUGGUGUUGAGAUUUUCAAUAGUUUCUUCCGAGUGUCUUUGGAAAAGGAAGGAACGAAUUUGUGUAAGCGUCAACUCGACAAUCCGAUUACCAGAAUACCAAAUUUUUACGCUAACAUUAACAUUAACUUGACAUUUGCAUCCCUCUUAUCGUGACUCUCUCGGGUUUGUAAUUUAAAAGUAAACAUGACAUUGAUCAAGACAAGCCAUUUAGCAAAAGGUUGCGUUAUCGUGGGCCGCUCAAACACUUGUUUCCCUUGUUAAAAUCGUUACUUUGUAUUUAUUCUUUGUAAUUAUCCCUGUAAUAUUUCGCAAGCCCGUAAUUAGUCGCACAACGAUAAAUUUUUAUCGUCUUGUGUAAAUAUUAAAUAAGCGGAAAACGAACAACGAAGAAAAUCGGUUUUUUCAAAUCUUCGACCGUCUCUUUCUUUCGCUGUUUCGAUAUUUAUUUUUUCGUUAAAAAGAACAAGAAUAUAGUUGAUCUCAGCAACGUAAAUUGCAUUAGCAAACGAAAAACUUGUUCUAUUUGCUUCGAUCUGCCUCUUGAGCAGCGAAGAUUACACAGAAUUAAUAUGACAUUGUGAAUUAAUAUGAAUUAAUGAAUAAAUCGAACAUGAUUUUUUCACAUACCGAUCGAAACGACGGUCGUAAAAUCAUGUUAAAUCAACGUGACGAUCGUAACGUCACAAGAGAUGAUAAGAUUGAUGAAUUGCGUUAUCUCAAGAUCGUAAAAUGACAGAAACAGGGAAGCAAGUUAACCAUAAAUGUCAAAUGUUAACCAAAUAGUCAAAUGGAUUUCAUAAGAUUUUCUUUGAAGUGUUAAUAGAAAAUUAAAAUGCAUUCAUUUGGAAUUAAGAUUGGUCAUUAUGACGUGUAACAAAAUUGUUCUCGUCGCCGACCUUUAUUCGCACUACGUCAAUCGAAGAUAUAAUAAAAAAAGGAAGGCGGACAAGAAAAAUGAUAAUGUAUUCGUGCCGAUAGAAAACACGCAACAAUUUACAUACACACUAGCGUCCAUAUUACUUGUGUCAGUGAUGAAAGUAUUGCACACGUUUCACAGCACUUAACCAGCAUUCACUUUCCUACGUAGAUGAUAAUCUUGCUGAGAUUCUGUGAUAAAUUGUACAACAAAAUUUAAAAUACUUAUCCCGCGCGAAAACUCCUUACAGCUGGAUCUUUUUCGAAAAACUAAAUGCUGACCAAGGUAUUCCUCGAUAGACCAUCCCGAUGCUAGACAAUUCUCUUUGUGUUCAUCGCACGUGUUCGGUUUACAAAUGCGCCAGCGGUUUCUCUGCGACCAUGGCACGUUCGUUACGCGCGCACAGUUACAUCAGAAUCAUACAACAUUUUCCUAGCCAGUUUCCCGUGAUCGUACUAUUACGUUGUUGUCGAGUUUCGAACCAAAGAUCGACACUUGUUCUGUUGCUUUGCGAAUAAUAAUUAGCCGAAAAAUUGAUUUUAGUUUAAAUGCGACGUAAAGUACGAUACUUGUGAAAUUUAUUAAACGCGCUCUAACACCUGAAGGUGAAUUUCAUAGUACAUUAUUACACGAUCAAAUUCAGUUUUAAAUGUUAACAUGCAAUAAGAAGUUAGUAUGCUAUAGUGAAGAUGCAAGCAAGAUGUAAACAUUGUGCAGCAAUUUUGUGAAAAAUGUCUUGAGAUUUCUAUGUACAUUUUCGGUUUCGUUUGAAAUCUUGUGAAUGUGAUUACGAUAAUCGUGUCUCAUUAUGAUGUUAGCGAGGACUCAUAAUAUUUUGUACGAUACAUGUAAUAAAUUCAUCAAAGAUU